UGGGAUUGGACCACCAUGUUUUGUGGAUUC
rnacentral:piRNA from 1 species